GUGCUCGCUUCGGCAGCGCAUAUACUAAAGAUUGGAAUGAUACAGAGAAGAUUAGCAUGGCCCCUGCGCAAGGAUGACACACAGAUUCGUGAAGCGUUACAUAUUAAA